UACGGAGGGUGCAAGCGUUAUCCGGAUUCACUGGGUUUAAAGGGUGCGUAGGUGGGCAGGUAAGUCAGUGGUGAAAUCUCCAGGCUUAACCUGGAAAUUGCCGUUGAUACUAUAUAUCUUGAAUGCUGUGGAGGUAAGCGGAAUAUGUCAUGUAGCGGUGAAAUGCUUAGAGAUGACAUAGAACACCAAUUGCGAAGGCAGCUCACUACACGGUCAUUGACACUGAGGCACGAAAGCGUGGGGAUCAAACAGG
rnacentral:rRNA from 1 species